rnacentral:rRNA from 1 species
AAUGAACGCUGGCGGCAUGCCUUACACAUGCAAGUCGAACGGCAGCAUGACCUAGCUUGCUAGGUUGAUGGCGAGUGGCGAACGGGUGAGUAAUGCAUCGGAACGUGCCUUUUAGUGGGGGAUAACGUAGCGAAAGUUACGCUAAUACCGCAUAUUCUCUGAGGAGGAAAGCAGGGGACCUUCGGGCCUUGCGCUAGAAGAGCGGCCGAUGUCGGAUUAGCUAGUUGGUGAGGUAAAGGCUCACCAAGGCAACGAUCCGUAGCGGGUCUGAGAGGAUGAUCCGCCACACUGGGACUGAGACACGGCCCAGACUCCUACGGGAGGCAGCAGUGGGGAAUUUUGGACAAUGGGCGCAAGCCUGAUCCAGCCAUGCCGCGUGAGUGAAGAAGGCCUUCGGGUUGUAAAGCUCUUUCGGCUGGGAAGAAAUCGCACCCUCUAAUACAGAGUGUGGAUGACGGUACCAGCAUAAGAAGCACCGGCUAACUACGUG